CCUCUAGAGGUCAGUAGACCUGGUGGCCCAACUGAAGACAUUAGAUCACUUUUGAAAAGUGGAUGUCCAACACGCAAGUUUAGGACUGGUCUCAUCAAUCGGAUAGUUAUGGCAUAUUGCGUUUGUAUCGGUAACGACAAAUAACCUCAACAGCUUGAGGUCAAACUUUUACUAAAGAGGCAGAUUUUCAUUCACAACACUCGGGAUUUAUCUUUUUCGUGACAACAUCUACAACUUGAAACGUAGUGCCUUUUCUUGUGAACUUUGGGAAGGAUUUGACGUUAGGCGGACGUCAUGCUUGUGAAAGAGUAUCGCAUAUGUAUGCCACUGACGGUGGAAGAGUACAGGAUAGGGCAGUUGUAUACGAUUAGCAAACACAGCCACCAGGAAAGUGACACAGAGGAGGGGAUUGAAGUUGUUCGGAAUGAAUCACAUUAUGACCCUGCUCAUGGGCAGGGUCAACUCACAGAGAAGAGAAUUCACCUCUCCAGCAAGCUUCCAAGCUGGGCCCGUGCCUUCGUCCCACGUAUUUUUUACAUCACGGAAAGAGCCUGGAAUUAUUAUCCCUACACUAUAACGG